rnacentral:tRNA from 1 species
AGGGAAAUAGUUCGAACGGUAGAACAGCGGUCUCCAAAGCCGAAGGAUGGGGGUUCGAAUCCCUCUUUCCCUG